AUUUUCAAAGAAAAAGAAAAAUUGGAUUUUUGUUAAUUGAGAAAACCCAUUUCUUGGAUUCAGCCUCUCUUAGCCGACCCCUCUCCCUCUCCCUCACAUCUCUUGUUGUUUUUUCAUUAAAAUUGGAAGGAAAGCUUGAUUAAUCUUGGGUGAUUGCUGUACUCGGAGCUUGAGAAUUGUGAAUGUGUGACUAGGACUACCGACGUUUGCUCAAGAACACUAGGGGAUUUGGAAUCUCCACAUACUUGGGAUACCAGGUAAGACAGUAGUUAGUACGUAGAGUUAAGCAUGGUGGUGCUCGUGAUUGAUAUUAUAGUCAGGGCGGGCCCUGAAAUUUAGUGGACCAUAGAAAAAAAAAUAUUUUUGGGCCCUCAUAUAGGAAAAAAUGUUGUAUUUUUCAAAAUUGAUAAAAAAAAAUGUGUAAUUUUAAAAGGGAAAAAAAAUUUUUGGGCCCCUGAGCUAGGUGGGCCCUAGGCACAAGCCUAGCCCGCCUAUGCUCAGGGUCGGCCCUGAUUAUAGUUGUGAUUAAUUGGAAAUUGGGAUUAGGGUCAUUGCCCUAAAGUGAGUGGUUAUAUGGCCUAGGGUUAUUACCCUAGUGAUUAUAUGAUUUUAAAUCCUAUGACAUGUUUUAUAUAUAUUGAUUGUAUGGAUUAUGCAUUCAAGACAUAAUUUGGUUGGACUCAGUAAUUAGAAUAGAGAUAAACUGUUCUAAGGCCUUAAUGUAAUUAGACGUGUGAGUGUAACACGCGGGUUUAUGCCACAUAGACAUAAAUAGGUGUGUGAGCGUAAUACGCAGGUUUAUGUCAAAUAGGCAAUAAGUGUAAUGGCAUUAUUAUAUAUUUGAAAUGUUAAUUACGUUUAUUGAUAUUUAUAUUUUUUUACUCGGCUUGGCUCACGGGUGCUCUACUGUACACGAAAGGGUUAAUUUGUUUGUAAUCAACCAUGAGUUCGAGAGCUUGGCGGUGCUUGUACAUGUUCGGGCCACACUAGACCAAGCGAGUUGGGUCUACUAGGGAUUGUAUUUUGUAAUCUCAGAUUUUGCCGCUUAGGUCGGCAAAUGAAACAACUUGUAAUAUUUUGUGAAAAGUUUUGUGCGAUCCCAAAACUUGUUAUCUUUUGGUUUGUUUUCUAAGUUAAAAGUUAUUGCAGGUUUUAUUUUCAUUCAUUUGCAAAUAAAGUUUAAAUUUUCCCGCUCUUAUCUCUUUAGUAAUCACAGUUUAGUGGGAUUAGGGUUUAUUAUUGAUUGGUGUAACGUGCCUAAUUUUAGGGCUUUACACUUUAGUAUUAGAGUGCCAAGGUUUUUUAACCUCCUGUAGACUGGCUGAACAUGUACAAUCAUCGUCAAAGACAAGCUCGACUCGUGGUGCAAUAAGUGUUGAGAGUAAAUACUUAACUACUUAUGUGAUUAUUUAUUUACCGCUUUCUAUUUUAA